AGCCAUACUAUUCCAACUUUCUGCUUCCACUAUACAAUUUAUUGGGGUAUCGCCAAGCGGUAAGGCACCGGGUUU
rnacentral:tRNA from 1 species